CCGGCUCCCUCCCACAUUUCAAGAGUUUUCUUUUUAAAUUUGUAUUCUUUCUGUAGGAAGAGGGUUCGAGUUGGGAUCCAUCGGGAAGAGCUCCUCAUCUGCUCCUGCUCUCUCCCGCUUCCUGAUGCUGUGAUCUCAGGUUCAGCUAAGAAAGGAGAGUCCAGUUCUUCCUGAUAGUUGUAGCAAUUCCAGAACCGCCUUCCCCCUUGGAUAACUUUUGACCACAACGUGAAUCUGCACUGAACCCGGUAUCAUAGAAUGACGGCCCUCCUUGUAACA